ensembl:snRNA U6 U6 spliceosomal RNA
GGCUUGCUUUCGCCGGCCCAUACACUAAAAACGAUACCGAGAAGAUUAGCAUGGCCCCUGUGCAAAGAUGAUAUGCAAAUUUGUGAAGCGUUCCCUAACAAA